GUUCUUGUAGCUUAAGCCAAAGCAUGGCACUGAAGACGCCAAGAUGGCCAUCACCACCCCAAGAAC
rnacentral:tRNA from 1 species